rnacentral:rRNA from 1 species
UACGUAGGGUGCAAGCGUUGUCCGGAAUUAUUGGGCGUAAAGGGCUCGUAGGCGGUCCAUCGCGUCGGGAGUGAAAAGCUGGGGCUUAACCCCAGUCCUGCUUCCGAUACGGGUGGACUAGAGGUAGGUAGGGGAGAACGGAAUUCCUGGUGUAGCGGUGAAAUGCGCAGAUAUCGGGAGGAACACCUAUGGCGAAGGCAGCUCGCUGGGACGUUACUGACGCUGAGACGCGAAAGCGUGGGGAGCAAACAGG